UACAGAGGGUGCAAGCGUUAAUCGGAAUUACUGGGCGUAAAGAGCACGUAGGUGGUCUUGCAAGUCAGAUGUGAAAUCCCCGGGCUUAACCUGGGAACUGCAUUUGAAACUGCGAGACUAGAGUAGAGUAGAGGAAGGCGGAAUUUCCGGUGUAGCGGUGAAAUGCGUAGAGAUCGGAAGGAACACCAGUGGCGAAGGCGGCUUUCUGGAUUCAUACUGACACUGAGGUGCGAAAGCGUGGGGAGCAAACAGG
rnacentral:rRNA from 1 species